GGUGUGCUGGACCACAGCCGGUACAAAGAAAGUGCUAAAGCUUACAGGGUUAUGGAGAAAACAGCAAAAGUUAACCUAUUCAAUAUGCUUGUAAAAGAAAGGCUUACAUGCAUUAUUCUCAAACAAUAUUCAUGACAAUGUUUAUCACCUUCUAUCUAACUGGACAUACCUCGUGAUAACUCUAAAUAAUGGCAAUAUAACACUUAACUUUGUCUCUUUAAUGAUUAUUCAUAAUCCUUCAAAGAAAAAUACACCUUAGGCCAUCAAUGAGACCUUUAUAAUGACAACUCACCUGUAACUUCACUCAAAUACUUCAAGAAUCAAAUAUUUUAAAGAUAUUACAAACAUUAAAAUGUGUCAUUUUUCCUCAUGUGCCAAGAUGUGGCCUGUGAAACCUAAGACACGAGAUGUUUCCUUUGAUAAUUUUGAAUUAGUCUUGUAAACAGUACUUUCAGAAGCAGUUGUAUGCCUCACUAAAUACAAUUCUUACAGCUAUAGGGUGUUUUACACCACUAGAAUCCACUACAAAGCACUUCAAAAUAUAUAUUUUUAAACAGAAAAGGGGGAAUGCCUAGUGCUAUGUAUACCCUAAAACAGGUGACACUAUUAAAAGGAUUUUAUAUAUUUUUAAAAAUUAAGACAAAGGAUUUCCUUUAUUUAAAGAAAUUAAGACAAUGGAUUUUAUUUAUUUAAGAAUAUAGGUAACAGGCCAGCUGUAGUCCACCUCACAAAGGAGCAUGCACAGGACAGCCCCAGAACUGAAUAUUUAAAUAUUCAUGAAUAAAAAAGAGCUCAAGUGGCAUAACAGCCUUUACAGUUUUCCAGAGCCGUUAAGUUUUACAGUGGAAAUUGUGAUUAUACCGACCUAUUUAAGAGUGGUACUCCCCAUGAAAAUGUUAAUUGAAUUUUCCAAGUUAAAAAAAAAAAGAAACAAACCCACACAGCUUCCAGCUGAGGGCUGACUGCAGCCUGGCCAAGGACUGCUUCUCAAUGGGCAUAAUUCCAACUAAGAUGCUCCCUCUCCCACUUUCUCUUGUGGCAGAUAAGCCACGAGGGAUAAAGUCCAAAAUUCGGGUUACAUUCCAUGCAGUCAAGGGAACUUGUGGCAGCAAUGAAGGGCAUGCCAGAGCUCCAUUUGAUUUUUUUAUUCUGUUUCUGAUGUAAAUCAAGAAAGCAUCUUAAAAUUUAAGAGAAAUGGCAUCUGGAACAUGAGCAGCAACCUGCCAAAGAAGUCUGGUUCAAGCUACAUCCAUAAAACUUCUGAUGCUGAUGUGCAAAGUCUAAGUGGGCCAGUGCCACUGGGACCCUGUUCCUGAUGAAAACACUCUGGCAAAAGUCCCCAUUGGUACCAAACAUUGUCAUGAUGAUUCAUCAGCAGCUCCAUCCAUUUUCAUUAUUUUAGCAGCAAUUUGAAACCCAAAGAAAUCCAAAAAUGGGUUUGAAAGCUGCUUAGGAAGAUACUGGGAAUUAGAUUACUGGUAUAAUGUACUCAUAUCCCUAAAUAAAUCAUUCAAUAUUUUUUAUACAAUUUUGUAUGUCGUAUAAUUUUGAAAGUCUACUUCACUCACAUCAUGAGCUCAUUCUCUCUAGACCUGGUACAAUAUUAACAAUAUUAAGACAAAAUGUACUGAGGGAAAGAGAUUAAAAUAGAAGCAAUGAGAACACAGAACUCAAGUACUGGGUAAAGGUAGGAUAAAAAGCAUUCAUAAAGUUAUUUUAACAGAACAACUGAAAAAUAUCCAGGCAAUUUCCAAGUGCUAGGGAGGGACUAAGGAAAUAGUGGCAAUAUUUGGUUGCUGUCAACCUAACAAGGAAAGCUGGGAGCUCUCAGAAGGUCCAAAAUGACAACAAAGCUUCAAAAGUCUGGACAAGCUUUGCAAAAAACACUCAAAAUUUGAGAUCCUUGUCAAAACUAGGCCUCUAAUUUUUAUGCAUCUUUCUCCAAAAUGUGUAUUUUCAAUGCCCAAAGACUUCAUUUUGAUAGCCUAACAAGUUUUGAUUGGUUAAUCUAAUAUUAUAAUAUACAGCAUAAGGCUUCAGAAUAAUUUGAAGUAGAAUGCUGUGCUCCACCAAUAUUUCUCUCAUGUCCCACUUGGCACAGGGAUUUCAUGACAUCCCUUGUUUCCCCAUCACCCCACAGACCCUCCAAAGAGUCUCUGAUUCCUCCCAGACAUUCCUCCCUCCUACCUCUACUUUUGCCUUCCCUCUCAGCAAAGCACAGGCUUUGUUCCCAGCACAGAGCUGGGCACUGCAGACCAGCAGAGGUGACAGAAUAAAUCACUUUGCUAUGGACAGCUGUGUCACUGCCAGCCUUGGGAUGAUGAAAAGCAGUUUUCCUACACCUGUGAAAUCCUUGGGAAUGCACUGGAAAACCAUUACAAAUUGACAUUGUUUGGAAAACAUCGAUGCAUCACAAUACAAGUACUUCUCUGCGCUUUCUGGAGCCCCAGAGCUGGAGGAAGAUGAGCGAGGCUAUUUGCUGCUGCCAAGGAGGCUUUGCGGGUGUGACAGAGCCGCCCAAAGCGGCGAUGCCCAGCAGCCGGGCUGCUCCCCGAGCGAGUGAGGGUGAAACAGAAGAGGAACAGCUCAGGGCAUCGCCCUGGCACUGCUUUGGUGCCAAGCAGCUGGAACUGCUUUAGGACAGCAGGAUCCGGUGAAUUAGCCGAGGGAGGGCUGCUGUGGGCAAGCCCUGGGCUGAGCAGAGCUGUGUGACACGCGAGUGACGAACGCGCCGCAGCGCUGUGGGCUCCAGAGGGUUAAACGCGCACCCCGCGGCUGAGAAAUGAUUCCCAAAGAACGAACGCAUCCUUCGGAGAGAUGAAGGCAAGAAAAGCCGUAAUGGAGAUCUAAAAUAAUAAAACAAGCCGGGCCAUCUGGCACCACGUCCCUCCGGAUCUUCCCGCAGCCCUGCCCUCUCGGCAGCCCUCGCCUUCCCAUCUGACAGUCAUUAGGGGCACGGAGCACAUCCAGCCAGGCGCUCCCCUCGUGUCCUGGGUGUUAUUUUAAUUAAAGCAGCGGCAAAUUGGGACAGAUGAUAAAAAUUUACAUUCUGAUCGUUUCCAUACAAUAAAGGUUUCCCGGUGUGGUGAAUAAAGCGCCUUCCUUUUCCAUUUCUUUUCAUCAUAUUCCCUCACUGCUACUACGCUGUACAUGAGCCCUUAAUUAAAGGACACCUAUAUCUGAUUAGCUGGCUUCAUGUAUAGACCAGCACCGUACAUCAAGCAAGGUGCCCAUCCUGGGGUUGCCUUCUCAUUACACAGCACUCUAAUAGCUACAGUGUCCCUACUUAAGAUUUAUUUUAUGCUAGGUUUUAUACUGUGGUUUUAUGCUUUCUUUCCUAGGAAUAAAAUAUUUUCCUCUUUUACCCAAGAAAGGGAUAAUAGAAGUCAGCAGGCAGCUUUUCUCCACUUUGUCCAAAUGCAUUGUCCCCAGCUGUGCAGUUGAGAAGGGGGGGAGUUGCAAAAUUGUCACAACAGUUCUGUCCCUGCUUUCAAGGAUUUCACCAAAAGCAGCAGUAAUUUUAUGGCUUCAGAAGAAGUUUGUUGGGUUUUAUGUUGCAACUUUGAUCUCUUCCUGAAUCUAUUGUAGAAAUUAAAAAAAUUAAAAAAUCUUUCAACAGAUUCUUCAGAGCUUGGCUUAUUAGGUAGAAAGAUUUUAACCCAAUUCCCAACCUAGUAACUAAGUUGCAGCUGAUUUGUGUUCCUAAUCUUUCCCUAGAAUGCAUAUUGCUAAUUCUGACCAUAAAAUUUUGCCCUGAUUUCAUGUAUUAUUUCUACCAGCUCCUCUCUGCCCACUCUCCUUCAGUUACAGUCCUUCCACUUUUGAGAUGUAAAAAUGUUCUCAUUUCACCUGCACUGUACAGUGUGGAGCCAAAAGAUAUUCACUGGUAUGGGAGGAAGCUCCGUCCUUCCUUGGUCACUCAUCCUACUGCAAUCCCAGAACAAGCUGCUUCUCCCACCCUAACAGCUGCAGGCUUCCUUCCACUCCUCUGCCCUCUCUGAACCAGCCAAAAGUUCCUCCACACUCCUGCAGGAGCUGGGAAUUACUGGUGCUGCCUUUUUCCUGCCAUUUAGAGUAGCUGGUGUCUCACAGUGUUUUGCCUCUGCUCUGCUGAGCCUGGCUCCUCUUGGCUGAGGAGGUAGGGAUGUUUCUGGAAUGCUACAGAUGGUGUUGGCAGGAGCAAAGUCAUGGCUGGCCCAAACUGAGCUGAGUUUGUGUUGUUAAAUAUUAAUUUUGCCCAUCUCUGCAACUCACCAUCUGUCUCCUGGAACCCAGCAAUGACCCUUCUUCAGUCCAGGUGCUUGGUGACCAUCCUCCCCAGCACCCGCCAGGUUCUGCUCCCACCCUGCUCCCCAUCCCCACCUUCGCACUUCCCUCAGCUCCUCCAGCUCCCCCAGCAGCUGCCAAGUCAUCUGGGCACACUGGGAUCACUAAAAGCCCCUCUGCAGAGCAUGUUACUCAGUCAAAAAGGACUCCUCUUCUUACCCUGAAGGAUUAUGUUACUAUAUAGAGAGCAACAGAGAUGUUUCUAAUACAAACACUUAUUUAAAAAAAAAAAAAAAAAAAGUCCAAAUCUCUAUCGCACUUUCUCCCAAGUAACAAAUAGUUUACGUAAUCAGAUGGUGCUCCUGGGAAGCCAGAGGGUCUCUCUCUCUUAGCAAGCUUCAAAAGGGAUGAGUUCUAAUUGCACUUCACUGUCAGAAAACAAACCAACAGCCCAGUCUCUGACUCAAGCAGGAGACAGUCUCUUCACAUAGAGAUACAAAGAUCUAUUAUUAGUACUAAAAAAAAAAUCUUAUGAAUGUUUAAACUUGUCUUUGGUGUGACAAAGCAAUCCCACAGCACAGAAUGCUUUUUCAAGAAGCAGAUAACAAAGACAGGGUGUGCUGGAUGCCAUGGCAAGGCAUGGGGCCUGGGAGCUGAGGGAGCAGAGAACUCUCUUAGGUGACCUUAGGACUCCUGCAAAGGCUCUGCUUACCUAUUAGAUCAGUCAUGCUUCCCGUUCUCCCAGAAUUCAUCCACAUUGUUUUAACACCAAAGUUAUGAAACAUAAAUUAAAAUUGUAUUUGUCCACCCUCAGAAGAGUGAGACUGAUUUUUCCUAUGAGCAGGGAGCUGAGACCAGCAAUGCAUUCCACAUCCCCCACCAAGAGGGGAGCAGCCACCAGCUUCUCUUUCUUAUAAAAUCUGGAAAAAUCUCUUUAUGGUAAAAUCUGGAAAAUCUGCUUUUCACCUAAGCAAAGAAUGAUGUGUAGCUGUUCAUUUGUCCUAACCCUGGCUUACUCUUCAAUUCAAGUAUCCACAGCAGUCUCAACAACCUGCAAGAAGCACAUGUAUUUUAGGCCAAACUCCUAGCCAUACAUGGAAAUAACAAUUAUAAAGCAGGAUUCUCAUGUAUAAUUAAUGUGUAUGAUACUUUGAUUUGAAAUGGCAAGCAAUAAAUUAUAUAUGAGGUUUAUAAAUGUAUAGGGAAACGUGUAUAGGGACAUAUAUGUAAUCAUAAGUGUUAUUUGUUAUGUUGCUACUGGCCUAUAAUUCAACUGCUGACAUUGUUGAAUAUAUGUUUAUGAUGUAUUUAUUUUAAACUAUUAAACCAAUAAAUCAAUUAGAACUCACAAAGCUACACUGUGCCACCCCUACCUUCCUUUUUCAGCUGUAAUCAAUAACAUACAAUAGAAUAACAUAUGGCCUAAUUUUUCAAGAGAUUUCAUUUAUAAAACAUUGGAGGCACCACAUGAGCUGGCUGCACAUCCUUCAUACACAAACUGAUUACAUCUUUCCUUUGUCCUGCAGGAAAUGUCACAAAUAUUGCAUGAUGCUUGCUUACUCUUGCAAAAAAGUGUCCUUUGCCAUACUAAUGAGGACAAAUGCCAAACUGCAUUGACAUUACAUGUGUUAUACUAUUACCCAGGGAAAUGCAAGCAGUAACUGAAUAGUAAAUGGAUAUUGAUUUACAACCCCAGGUGAAAUUAAAACAGCCUUUCUCAGUGUGGUUGGGUUGGGCUUUUUUGAGCCUUCUUCGAGAAACAAGAAAAAGUCUGCAAAUUCUUUGAGCAAUGGUCAAAAUAAAGCACAUCAUUCAUGUCUAAAUUAUAUUUGUACUACCCAAGAAUAUCUAGUAACUGACAUGAUGAAGGUAAAGGGGCAAAUGAUGAAGGG